ACGGCUCAGUAACACGUAGUCAACAUGCCCAGAGGACGUGGAUAACCUCGGGAAACUGAGGAUAAACCGCGAUAGGCCAUGAUUUCUGGAAUGGUUUAUGGCUGAAAUCUAUAUGGCCUCUGGAUUGGACUGCGGCCGAUCAGGCUGUUGGUGAGGUAAUGGCCCACCAAACCUAUAACCGGUACGGGCUCUGAGAGGAGGAGCCCGGAGAUGGGCACUGAGACAAGGGCCCAGGCCCUAUGGGGCGCAGCAGGCGCGAAAUCUCUGCAAUAGGCGAAAGCUUGACAGGGUUACUCUGAGUGGUUCCCGCUAAGGGGAUCUUUUGGCACCUCUAAAAAUGGUGCAGAAUAAGGGGUGGGCAAGUCUGGUGUCAGCCGCCGCGGUAAUACCAGCACCCCGAGUGGUCGGGACGAUUAUUGGGCCUAAAGCAUCCGUAGCCGGUACUGCAAGUCUUCCGUUAAAUCCACCUGCUCAACAGUUGGGCUGCGGAGGAUACUACAGCGCUAGGAGGCGGGAGAGGCAAGCGGUACUCAGUGGGUAGGGGUAAAAUCCACUGAUCCAUUGAAGACCACCAGUGGCGAAGGCGGCUUGCCAGAACGCGCUCGACGGUGAGGGAUGAAAGCUGGGGGAGCAAACCGGAUUAGAUACCCGGGUAGUCCCAGCUGUAAACGAUGCAGACUCGGUGAUGGGCUGGCCUUGUGCCAACCCAGUGCCGCAGGGAAGCCGUUAAGUCUGCCGCCUGGGGAGUACGGUCGCAAGACUGAAACUUAAAGGAAUUGGCGGGGGAG
rnacentral:rRNA from 1 species